rnacentral:rRNA from 1 species
GAUGAACGCUGGCUACAGGCUUAACACAUGCAAGUCGAGGGGAAACGACGGGGAAGCUUGCUUCCCCGGGCGUCGACCGGCGCACGGGUGAGUAACGCGUAUCCAACCUGCCUCUGACUGAGGGAUAACCCGUCGAAAGUCGGCCUAAUACCUCAUGGCAUCGUCUGCGGGCAUCCAACGACGAUUAAAGAUUUCAUCGGUCAGGGAUGGGGAUGCGUCUGAUUAGCUUGUUGGCGGGGUAACGGCCCACCAAGGCUACGAUCAGUAGGGGUUCUGAGAGGAAGGUCCCCCACAUUGGAACUGAGACACGGUCCAAACUCCUACGGGAGGCAGCAGUGAGGAAUAUUGGUCAAUGGGCGAGAGCCUGAACCAGCCAAGUAGCGUGCAGGAUGACGGCCCUAUGGGUUGUAAACUGCUUUUAUGCGGGGAUAAAGUGAGGGACGUGUCCUUCAUUGCAGGUACCGC